AGCAGUGGGGAAUAUUGGACAAUGGGCGCAAGCCUGAUCCAGCCAUGCCGCGUGAGUGAUGAAGGCCUUAGGGUUGUAAAGCUCUUUUGUCCGGGACGAUAAUGACGGUACCGGAAGAAUAAGCCCCGGCUAACUUCGUGCCAGCAGCCGCGGUAAUACGAAGGGGGCUAGCGUUGCUCGGAAUCACUGGGCGUAAAGGGCGCGUAGGCGGUCUUUUAAGUCGGGGGUGAAAGCCUGUGGCUCAACCACAGAAUUGCCUUCGAUACUGGGAGACUUGAGUUCGGUAGAGGUUGGUGGAACUGCGAGUGUAGAGGUGAAAUUCGUAGAUAUUCGCAAGAACACCGGUGGCGAAGGCGGCCAACUGGACCGACACUGACGCUGAGG
rnacentral:rRNA from 1 species